GAGAGAUGAGGAGCUUGCUCUUCAAAUCGAGUGGCGAACGGGUGAGUAACGCGUGAGGAACCUGCCUCAAAGAGGGGGACAACAGUUGGAAACGACUGCUAAUACCGCAUAAGCCCACGGCUCGGCAUCGAGCAGAGGGAAAAGGAGCAAUCCGCUUUGAGAUGGCCUCGCGUCCGAUUAGCUAGUUGGUGAGGUAACGGCCCACCAAGGCGACGAUCGGUAGCCGGACUGAGAGGUUGAACGGCCACAUUGGGACUGAGACACGGCCCAGACUCCUACGGGAGGCAGCAGUGGGGAAUAUUGCACAAUGGGGGAAACCCUGAUGCAGCGACGCCGCGUGGAGGAAGAAGGUCUUCGGAUUGUAAACUCCUGUUGUUGAGGAAGAUAAUGACGGUACUCAACAAGGAAGUGACGGCUAACUACGUGCCAGCAGCCGCGGUAAAACGUAGGUCACAAGCGUUGUCCGGAAUUACUGGGUGUAAAGGGAGCGCAGGCGGGAGAACAAGUUGGAAGUGAAAUCCAUGGGCUCAACCCAUGAACUGCUUUCAAAACUGUCUUUCUUGAGUAGUGCAGAGGUAGGCGGAAUUCCCGGUGUAGCGGUGGAAUGCGUAGAUAUCGGGAGGAACACCAGUGGCGAAGGCGGCCUACUGGGCACCAACUGACGCUGAGGCUCGAAAGUGUGGGUAGCAAACAGGAUUAGAUACCCUGGUAGUCCACACCGUAAACGAUGAUUACUAGGUGUUGGAGGAUUGACCCCUUCAGUGCCGCAGUUAACAAAGUAAGUAAUCCACCUGGGGAGUACGACCGCAAGGC
rnacentral:rRNA from 1 species